rnacentral:lncRNA from 1 species
UGAAGGGGGUCGCACCUCUGUUUUGUAACUUCUUUGAUCUUAAUAACUGAGAAACAAUGUGAUCCCAAUUUUGCAUAUUUGGGAAUCGCCGAUCGUUGAACAAUGUUUUGCUGAUGCACUUCACGAGAUAACCAGUGAGUGUCGGGUGCGUCCAAUGACAAGUUUGGGCCGAUUGGACGCAGCCCCCGAGUGUCGGGUGCGUCCAAUGAUAAGUUUGGGGCUGAUUGGACGCAGCCCCCGAGUGUCGGGUGCGUCCAAUGACAAGUUUAGGGUCGAUUGGACCCAUCCCCCGAGUGUCGGGUGCGUCCAAUGACAAGUUUUGGGUCGAUUGGACGCAGCCCCCGACUGUCGGGUGCGUCCAAUGACAGGUUUUAGGGUCGAUCUCUCAGCUUUGAGCUUGAUGCGACCGUAUCAGGGUAAGUAAGAGGAAAGAAUUCUAAGUAGAGGAACAUAAAUACUUUUAUCGAGUACUGAUGGUACAAGAGGGCAUUUAAAAAUGUGGAGAAAAACAAGGAAACAGGCGAGAAACUGGAAAAAUAAAAAUAAAAAAUUCAAGCAAAAGCCUGGCGCAUUCGCGGCGCGAUUGCGUGGCGUUCCGCAUCUUUCUUCUUGUGUCCCCUGCUCUGAAUUGGAGUUUGAGGGGGAGAUCCUUGGUUCUCAUAUCCCGCAGUCGAGUUGGCUGAAUAGCCAUGUCGAGGCAUGGAUGAGCUCGCUGGUAUGUGCUUGAACUGACUCACUCUUUGGUAGGCGACUUUUGAGUUACACUGCAUGGGCUGCAAAGCCGGCUUGGCGUUCUCGUUGUUUUAGUGCGCCUGCUAGAGGGACUCCCGAUGUUGCGAGU